AUACGGAGGAUCCGAGCGUUAUCCGGAUUUAUUGGGUUUAAAGGGUGCGCAGGCGGGAGAUUAAGUCGGCGGUGAAAUUUUGCAGCUCAACUGUAAAAGUGCCUUCGAAACUGGUUUCCUUGAGUGUAGAUGAAGUAGGCGGAAUUUGUGGUGUAGCGGUGAAAUGCAUAGAUAUCACGAGGAACUCCGAUUGCGCAGGCAGCUUACUAAACUACUACUGACGCUCAGGCACGAAGGCGUGGGGAUCAAACAGGAUUAGAUACCCUGGUAGUCCACGCAGUAAACGAUGAUUACCAGCUGUUUGCGAUACAAUGUAAGCGGCUGAGCGAAAGCGUUAAGUAAUCCACCUGGGGAGUACGGUCGCAAGAAUGAAACUCAAAUGAAUUGACGGGG
rnacentral:rRNA from 1 species